rnacentral:tRNA from 1 species
UCCUUCUUAGCUCAGUUGGUUAGAGCAUCUGACUGUUAAUCAGAGGGUCCUUGGUUCGAGCCCAAGAGAGGGAGCGA